UACGUAGGGGGCAAGCGUUGUCCGGAUUUAUUGGGCGUAAAGAGCGUGUAGGCGGUUUGGUAGGUCCGCUGUGAAAACUCGAGGCUCAACCUCGAGACGCCGGUGGAAACCAUCAGGCUAGAGUCCGGAAGAGGAGAGUGGAAUUCCUGGUGUAGCGGUGAAAUGCGCAGAUAUCAGGAAGAACACCCGUGGCGAAGGCGGCUUUCUGGGACGGUACUGACGCUGAGACGCGAAAGCGUGGGGAGCGAACAGG
rnacentral:rRNA from 1 species